UACAGAGGGUGCAAGCGUUGUCCGGAAUUAUUGGGCGUAAAGCGCGCGCAGGCGGCCUUUUAAGUCUGAUGUGAAAGCCCACGGCUCAACCGUGGAAGGUCAUUGGAAACUGAAAGGCUUGAGUACAGAAGAGGAAAGCGGAAUUCCACGUGUAGCGGUGAAAUGCGUAGAGAUGUGGAGAACACCAGUGGCGAAGGCGGCUUUCUGGUCUGUAACUGACGCUGAGGCGCGAAAGCGUGGGGAGCAAACAGG
rnacentral:rRNA from 1 species